rnacentral:lncRNA from 1 species
UGCUAAGGGAAAAAAAGGAUGGGGAAAGGAGUGGCAGUAUCUAUAGCUAGAGGGUCGUCCUAUUUGUGGAAAACUUUAUUGUCUACUUUAGUGGGUCCUGAAUAUUAGUCCAGUCCUUACUGCCCAGCACUUAAGGAAGAAAGGUCUAAUGUGACUGUAUGGGGGUUGAAGUAGGUACCAAAGGAAAAGCAGUUCCCACCACCUCCAAGGAGCAGGAGCUGUUGCUCUUCAGGAAGAAGGAUGCUAGUAUGGUUGUGUAACAUUAAUGGCCAUGGCACAUAUGUUGUGUCAAUCUGAUACUCAGAGCUCAAUCCUGUAGUCAAAUUGAUCACAGUCACUCCAGGAAAUGAGGAGGAAUGAAUCCAGAUCCCUCCAACCAGUAACAGCUUUCCAUUGAGCACAUGAGCUGUGUGGGAGUACCUUGGGGUAAUGGGAGGCUGGAUGUCUACUGACUCCCAGAGGAAUCCACAAGAGAUUGGUCUCAGAAAGAGCACAGAGUUCAAUGGCUCCUCAGAAGCCCCGAGACCUCCAGCAAUAAGGGCUCCCCCUUGCCAAGUGCAGGCACUGUGAGAAUGCCGGGCUUCAGGUACUUCUCCCUCCACUGGGAUCCUGACCCAAGCCAUUGUCCCUACAUGUAGGAAAUGCCAGUCACUUAGUACAGGUUCCACCACGCUUCGACCCCCAUACACAAACAAAUAUUCCUGAUUCUGACAGGACACUUCUGUUGUUGAAUGCCGCCAACAACACAAAGUGGAAUCAUCCUUUCGGCCAGCCUUUGUUAUUGUCACUUUCAGGUCCUCAGUGUUAUUAUCCUCACUCUUAAAAAAAUGAAGCUGGAGAACCCCCAAGGCUGGACUUACUGGGGACAGUCUCCCUCCCAGAAUCAGAAUCCGACUCUCUGAGAGUCUUGUCAUGGUGUGAUAAAGGCGUCCAUCCCACUGAACUCCAGUCCCACAACUGCCUAUUUGGCUGCCUUUCCAUUCAGAGUCACAAUCUCUUGAGAGCAAGUGAAACUGGCUCACUCGGCAGUGCCGCCCCUCCUGCUCUCCAAAUCCUCCUGCACUGAGAAUAACGUCUGGGCUCAAGAAGACAGAGGCGUGGCCAUAUCUCUUCAGGUUUGGGACCUGGCCCUCGCUACUGACUACACUGGCAGGGAAUAACCCUGAAGGCGAAGCAGGAUUUACGCGAGGGAAUGCCUCUGAGGAUGGAAACACUAGGGUGUGGGAGAGGGUGUCUCCCCUAGAAGCUGCCAGAAUGAAAUAAUGGGCGCACUUCAGAUGCCACUCCUCAAAUUCGUCAAAGGGUUCAAUAUUUUCCACCCGCCGGCGCUCUUCUGCGGGAAGGAAGCAGUGAUAGAAUUCAUUCAUGUCCACGGCACCGCAGGCGGUCCAGCCAGCUUGAAGGAAGCGGCGCCGCUGCGCCUCCACGUCAGGAAAGCGCUCCAGGCCAUGCAGGGGGGAGUUUAGCUGCCGAAAAUGUUGCAGCAUGCACUGGCCAAAGGCGUCUUGAGGCCUCAUCUGCUCAUAGACCACGAAAAGGGCAUUAGGAAAACGCUGGGCUGCCCAGGCGAUGAGGGCCGCGGCACUCUCCGGCUCGAGGUAGGUCAGCACCGCCUCGGCCAGCAGCAGAGUGGGUGAGGCUGCGUCGAGCCCCGCGGCGCCCAGGGCCUCCUCCACUCGCUGGAGCUGCCGCAAGUCCAGACCCAGGAUGCAGUAGUCUGCGCUCUCAAAGCACAGCGCGGACGCGGGCUCCCCCCUCUGGAAAGGCCCGGUUAACGCGCACAGCUCUGGCGUCUCUCCAAUCCUUUCUGCUUUGCGCCGCGCCACCUCCGGAAAAUCCACCUCCCAGACUGCAGCCCGGGCCAGGCGGCCCGCGGUUUUUAAGCGAAAAUAGAGCGAGUCGAAGCCAGCGCCGAGAGACAAGAUCUGCGCGCGAAGCGCGGCCUGGGGCGCGCCAAUCUGCUCCAAAAAAGCGCGCACGCAGUGCCUCACGGCGCGUGCGCGGACGUAGUAGCCUCGGUGAAUGAGCGGUGCGCGGCGCGCCGCGCCCGGAACCAGCAACGCGGCAAAGGGGUCCUGCACGUACCCGCGCGCGGCCAGGGAACGCUUGCUGAGGGCGCUGCUGUCGUUGGUGUUCUGUACCGCGCCUGCCCGACGCUCACGGCUCCGGGGGCCCAUGGCCAGAAGAGACUCAGGAAUGGCAGUCUGUCACGGUUGUGAGCCGCCCCUUGGUUAGCACACACCUCACGGACCUCGGUAGGGGGAAACAACCACCCAUGCUCCUGGACUUCCCCUUCCGCCGGCGCUUGUGCGUCACUUCCGGGAAGAGCGCAUCUCGCCAACCAGAAUUGAGGAGGGUGUAGCCAGUGCUAAGUUCGCUUGCGGCUGACCUUUCUUUUGAAUGUCGUGAGUUCCAUUUGUCCCAGAAUACGGUCCGCUACCGCUGUGACAUGAGUGUUAGGGAAGGCGGGUUGUCACGUUUCUACAAGCCUUCCAGUCAAAAGGGAAACCUUGCCUAAGUCCUUGUAGUUGAGAAAUCUCUAAGAGGUGGAAGCAAAUACUGCACAUGCGUGUUGGUCCUGUGAGGGAAACCAGCUAGUGGAGAGGGAGAGGUUGAAGGAACAGAAAAAUGAGAAGAUAACUCACUGGUAGAGUAACUUGGAAUAGAUAGAAAUGGGAUCCUGGGCACGUAUUAGUUGUGGGGAUAGGAGAAUGAAUCCUUUAUCUGUGACUCCUGAUGGAGUAAAAAAAAGAUUAUGGAUAAUCAUAAGCUCAGGUGUGAGGUAGGGCAGAGAGAAAAAGAAGGAAUUUACACCUGAUGGCUUCUGUUUUCUCUGUAAAGUUGGUGACAGAGUUGUCAGUUUAGUGUAAGGCAUUCAGAUCUGAUGGAACAUUUGAGCAGUUUGAGAAUUGCUUCUGAA